AUUGAACGCUGGCGGCAGGCCUAACACAUGCAAGUCGAGCGAGCGGCGGACGGGUGAGUAAUGUAUGGGGACUGCCCGAUAGCGGGGGAUAACUACUGGAAACGGUGGCUAAUACCGCAUACUAUCGGAUAACCCAUAUGGGAUUGGCUUGUAGGUGGGGUAAAGGCUCACCAAGGCGACGACCCCUAGCUGGUCUGAGAGGAUGAUCAGCCAAACUGGAACUGAGACACGGCCCAGAAUCCUACGGAGGCAGCAGUGGGGAAUAUUGCACAAUGGGCGCAAGCCUGAUGCAGCCAUGCCGCGUGUAUGAAGAAGGCCUUAGGGUUGGAAAGUACUUGCAGCGGGGAGGCGUUACCCGCAGAGGAAGCACCGGCUAACUCCGUGCCAGCAGCCGCGGUAAUAC
rnacentral:rRNA from 1 species